AAUAUUGCGCAAUGGCCGAAAGGCUGACGCAGCGACGCCGCGUGCGGGAGGAAGCCCUUCGGGGUGUAAACCGCUGUCAGGGGGGACGAACCGCCGGGGUGGGAAUACUGGACCGGUCUGACGGUACCACACGAGGAGGCACGGGCAAACUACGUGCCCGCAGCCGCGGUAAUACGUAGGGGGCGAGCGUUAUCCGGAAUUACUGGGCGUAAAGGGUACGUAGGCGGCUAUAUAAGUCAGGUGUGAAAUACCCGUGCUUAACACUGGAAUUGCAUUUGAAACUGUGUAGCUUGAGUGCAGGAGAGGAAAGUGGAAUUCCUAGUGUAGCGGUGAAAUGCGUAGAGAUUAGGAGGAACACCAGUGGCGAAGGCGACUUUCUGGACUGUAACUGACGCUGAGGUACGAAAGCGUGGGUAGCGAACA
rnacentral:rRNA from 1 species